rnacentral:rRNA from 1 species
AGUGAACGCUGGCGGUAGGCCUAACACAUGCAAGUCGAACGGCAGCACAGUAAGAGCUUGCUCUUACGGGUGGCGAGUGGCGGACGGGUGAGGAAUACAUCGGAAUCUACUUUUUCGUGGGGGAUAACGUAGGGAAACUUACGCUAAUACCGCAUACGACCUACGGGUGAAAGCAGGGGAUCUUCGGACCUUGCGCGAUUGAAUGAGCCGAUGUCGGAUUAGCUAGUUGGCGGGGUAAAGGCCCACCAAGGCGACGAUCCGUAGCUGGUCUGAGAGGAUGAUCAGCCACACUGGAACUGAGACACGGUCCAGACUCCUACGGGAGGCAGCAGUGGGGAAUAUUGGACAAUGGGCACAAGCCUGAUCCAGCCAUACCGCGUGGGUAAAGAAGGCCUUCGGGUUGUAAAGCCCUUUUGUUGGGAAAGAAAAGCAGCAGGUUAAUACCCCGCUGUUCUGACGGUACCCAAAGAAUAAGCACCGGCUAACUUCGUG